GUUCGUUAUUGAGGGCGCAUGGUGGAUGCCUUGGCAUGCUGAGCCGAUGAAGGACGUGUAAGGCUGCGUUAAGCCUCGGGGAGUUGUCAAUAAAGCGUUGAUCCGAGGAUGUCCGAAUGGGGAAACCUGGCCCUGGUUAUGUGGGGUUACCCUUCAGUGAAUUCAUAGCUGUUGUGGGGGUUACGCGGGGAAGUGAAACAUCUCAGUACCCGUAGGAGGAGAAAAUAAUAAUGAUUCUGCUAGUAGUGGCGAACGAACGUGGAUGAGGCUAAACCGUGUGCAUGUGAUACCUGGUAGGGGUUGUGUGUGCGGUGUUGUGGGGCCUGAUUUUGUGUCAUCUACCAGUGGCACGCCCUUUUUCGCAUUGUUGUUAGGUGAAGUGGUUUGGAAUGGCCUGCCGGAGUAGGUGAGAGUCCUGUAGCUGAAGAUGAUGAUGUGGGGGUUGUUGGGUUCCCGAGUAGCAACGGGCUCGUGGAAUCUGUUGUGAAUCUGCCGGGACCACCCGGUAAGCCUAAAUACUCAGUGUGACCGAUAGUGGAUAGUACCGUGAGGGAAUGGUGAAAAGUACCCCGGGAGGGGAGUGAAAUAGUUCCUGAAACCAUGUGCUUACAAUCCGUCAGAGCACUUUUUAUUGUGUGAUGGCGUGCCUUUUGAAGAAUGAGCCUGCGAGUCAGCGGCAUGUCGCGAGGUUAACCCGUGUGGGGUAGCCGUAGGGAAACCGAAUCCUAAUGGGGUGAUAAGUGGCAUGUCCUGGACCCGAAGCGGGGUGAUCUACCCAUGGCCAGUGUGAAGCAGCUGUAAGAGGUUGUGGAGGCGCGAACCCACGUAGGUUGAAAACUGCGGGGAUGAGCUGUGGGUAGGGGUGAAAGGCCAAUCAAACUCCGUGAUAGCUGGUUCUCCCCGAAAUGCAUUUAGGUGCAGCGUCGCAUUAGCUUGGUGGAGGUAGAGCGACUGGUUGGUUGAGCGGGACUACAAUCUUAGCAAUGUCAGCCAAACUCCGAAUGCCAUCAAUUGUGUUGUGCGGCAGUGAGACUGUGGGGGAUAAGCUUCAUAGUCGAGAGGGAAACAGCCCAGAUCGCCGGUUAAGGCCCCUAAGGGUGUACUAAGUGGAAAAGGAUGUGGGAUCGCGAAGACAGCCAGGAGGUUGGCUUAGAAGCAGCCAUCCUUGAAAGAGUGCGUAAUAGCUCACUGGUCGAGUGGUUCUGCGCCGACAAUGUAGUGGGGCUCAAGUACACCGCCGAAGCCGCGGCAAGCAACAUUUUUUGUUGUUUGGGUAGGGGAGCGUCGUGCAUGGGUGGAAGCGUUACCGUGAGGAGGCGUGGACUGUGUGCGAGUGAGAAUGCAGGCAUGAGUAACGAAUUGUAAGGUGAGAAUCCUUACCGCCGGAUGACUAAGGGUUCCUGGGUCAAGUUCGUCUUCCCAGGGUGAGUCGGGACCUAAGGCGAGGCCGACAGGCGUAGUCGAUGGAUAACCAGUUGAUAUUCUGGUACCCGUACAUGUGCGCCCAUGAUAAAGCACGGAUACUAACCACUGCGGAUACGCUACCUUUUCACUUUUUGAGUGUUGGUGGUGUUGAUGUCGUGGGGCCUGAUGUGUGGUUCAAGUGAUGGGGUGACGCAGUGAGGUAGCCGCGCCACUUAGUGGAUUGGUGGUGUAAGCGUGUAGGCCGUGUGGUAGGUAAAUCCGCUACACAUGUGGUUGAGGCGUGAUGCGUAGACCCAGUGGGGUUGAUGGUGGUGAUCCUGUACUGUCGAGAAAAGCCUCUAGCGAGUGUGUGUAUGGCCCGUACCCUAAACCGACACAGGUGGUCAGGUUGAAGAUACUAAGGCGUUCGGGUGAACUGUGGUUAAGGAAUUCGGCAAAAUGCCCCCGUAACUUCGGGAGAAGGGGGGCCCUGUGACGUGAAGACCCUGUGCGGUUGGAGUGUUGUGGGGUCGCAGAGAAUAGAGGGAAGCGACUGUUUAUCAAAAACACAGGUCCAUGCGAAGACGUUAAGUUGAUGUAUAUGGACUGACGCCUGCCCGGUGCUGGAAGGUUAAGAGGACCGGUUAGUAACCUUUGUGGUUGCGAAGCUGAGAAUUUAAGCCCCAGUAAACGGCGGUGGUAACUAUAACCAUCCUAAGGUAGCGAAAUUCCUUGUCGGGUAAGUUCCGACCUGCACGAAUGGAGUAACGAUUUCCCUACUGUCUCCACCAUGAACUCGGUGAAAUUGCAUUACGAGUAAAGAUGCUCGUUACGCGCAGCAGGACGGAAAGACCCCGGGACCUUUACUAUAGUUUGGUAUUGGUGAUUGGGACGGUUUGUGUAGGAUAGGUGGGAGACGUUGAUGCGGCCACGCUAGUGGUGGUGGAGUCGUUGGUGAAAUACCACUCUGAUUGUUCUGGUUAUCUCACUGUGGACCGUGAUCCGGUUCAAGGACAGUGCCUGAUGGGUAGUUUGACUGGGGCGGUCGCCUCCUAAAGGGUAACGGAGGCGCCA
rnacentral:rRNA from 1 species